UUGGCCUCGCCCAGUGUCGAAGUAUAUUCAC
rnacentral:piRNA from 1 species